rnacentral:rRNA from 1 species
CCUACGGGUGGCAGCAGUGGGGAAUAUUGGACAAUGGGCGAAAGCCUGAUCCAGCCAUGCCGCGUGUGUGAAGAAGGCCUUCGGGUUGUAAAGCACUUUCAGUGGGGAAGAAAGCCUUGGGGCUAAUACCCUCGAGGAAGGACAUCACCCACAGAAGAAGCACCGGCUAACUCCGUGCCAGCAGCCGCGGUAAUACGGAGGGUGCGAGCGUUAAUCGGAAUUACUGGGCGUAAAGCGCGCGUAGGCGGUCUGAUAAGCCGGUUGUGAAAGCCCCGGGCUCAACCUGGGAACGGCAUCCGGAACUGUCAGGCUAGAGUGCAGGAGAGGAAGGUAGAAUUCCCGGUGUAGCGGUGAAAUGCGUAGAGAUCGGGAGGAAUACCAGUGGCGAAGGCGGCCUUCUGGACUGACACUGACGCUGAGGUGCGAAAGCGUGGGUAGCAAACAGGAUUAGAUACCCCGUAGC